CCCCUCCCGCAGCCUGGGGCAGCCGCCCGCUCGCAGCGACAACAAAAAUCGGCGCUAAUUCAAUUAGGGCUGAAGCCCGCGUGUAGCAGAGGGGAACUUUGGCGCUUAGGAACUAAGCUGCUAUAUUCGCUUGGCUAUAAACUGACGAGAAUAUUUUAUGGCGGAGGAGAACCGUACAACACAAAAGGGAAAUAUGACAAUAAAUCUCUUUUUAUGGAUCCUCUCUAGCAGCAAAACCACAAGGAUUCCACGGUUUUACCGCUCAGCCGUUUUACAGCGGAUCAGGCAAACGAUUUCAGAACCCUGGCUUUCUUAAGGAAAGCUGUGGAACAAUCUAUGGAUCUGAAACGUCAAUCCUAACCACCUAACACCUACAAAAUGUAACGGUGGGAAAAAGAAAGAUGACCCACACUGACAGACACAGUCCUCCUCAUCAGGGAAAAAAAAGGUUUAAGAUGUUCAAAUACUUUUCUACAUGAGGAGGAACUGGCACCUCCCUUGGACCACAGGACAUAAUAGGAACCACCAAAGAUAGCCUAAAGCAAAUGGUAAAGAAAGGCUCCCACACAGCUCUCAGUUUUGUCAUAAUAUGAAUGGCGUCUUCAAUCAAAUGACCACCGUAAUCACAUAUUGCUCCAAGAACACAGCAACUAUAAUUGUUUAGCAUCAGAAGUGAUCAAAUGUGUGAUAUAAUUUGAAACUGCACAAUAUUUUUUUUUUUCUGAAAAGCUAUGAAAUCCAGCAAUUAGAAUGAUUUAAAUAUUAUUCCAGAAUUAUGUCACUGUUUUGUAAGAAGGAUUUUAACCGAGAUUUUUUCUUCCUGACUCUUUCAAAAUUUCCAGUGUUUUUACACCAGAAGCUAACAACUCUUUCUUCCCCCAUCCUCUCCCAUAAAGACAUAGGGGCGUUUUCAAGAUAGCCCACUCUUCAGCCUGGACUCCAGCCAUUUUAAAUACUGAUUGCCACCUACACAUUCCCACCAUUGCUGUCAACAGAAGAUCUGCUAUCUGUAGGAUGGAUGCUAUCCAAAAGAAGGCUUUAAGUUUUAAUACUGUUUAUAUCCUUUCUUUUGAUACAUAUACAUGUACACAUACAUAUUCAGCCUAUUGAAAAAUUUCUGAUUCUGCUUUCUUUGGG
rnacentral:lncRNA from 1 species